rnacentral:lncRNA from 1 species
UCACUCUGUAGACCAGGCUGGCCUCGAAAUCAGAAAUCCUCUUGCCUCUGCCUCCUGAGUGCUGGGAUUAAAGGCAUGUGCCAUCACGCCCGGCUUCCUGUCUCUUUUCAUACAUGCAUGUGUGUAUGAGUGUAUGCACACAUGUGUGCAGGUAUCUAUGGAAGUCAUACUAGACUGUAGUUAAGUGCUCUGAGCUGCUGAGCCACCUCUCCAGCUCCCAAGGCUAUUUUCCUCUAAAAGUCAUUACAUACAAUUAAAAUGUAAAGUUACUUACAAUGAAUAUUUUAAAGUGUCAUCUAAUUCCAUGAUAGCAGCCUGGUUCCCACAACGGUAGCAGUAAUUGGGCGCACUAAAAAUGGUGACCACAUUCCGAUCAUGGCACCAGUUAUAUCCCUGCAACAUUAAAAAGGUCAUUGUUUCAUUAUAAAAUCCAAUUUUGACAGAUCAAGUCACAAAUACUUCGGUGGCUAUGUUACCUUUUAUAAUCUAAGUUUAUGCAACUGUUCAGACUUUUAAACAUUUAUUAGGUACAAGAUUCUAUUAUAUACCUCAGUAACCAUACAGCUUUUCUUAACCUACACUUAAGAUUUUAACUUAGAAUAUACACUGAAUUUCUCAGAAAACCAUAGUAACUUCCCCAUUUUCCUUCAUAAACUUUGCUAAGUAUUUUAUUUUAUUUUGAGAAAGAAUUUUGCUAUUUAGACUACCCUGUUCUCAAACUUGCAAUUGCCCCAGCCUCCCAAGUGCUGAGACAUGAUAGAAAUGAGCCUGGCUUCUAAAGUUUGCUACUAAGUUUGCUUGAAACUCGUAUUAGGCAAAUACCAACUUAGAAUAUGCUCUCCCAGAGAGCUGAGCCCAUGCUAACCAGCCAUCUUGACAAUCACAUUGUCACCUGUGUCAGAGCCUCUGCCUUCCAUCACUCGUGAUGUUGGGUGGUGUUUACUUGACACAUAGCACACCAUUCUCAUCUUUGUUAUGUUAAAUGUUUCAGUUUUGCCUCAAAUAGCUGAAAUUUGAUUAUUUUCUAAUUUUGGAGUCUCAGGACUUUUAGGAAUGUUAAAGCUUAGUCAAAUUUUUUCUCCAAAAAUAUUAUCAUCACUGACAUCUGUGCUUGCCAGUAUAAUGAAGUUUAAUGUCACUUCGUGUAUGUGCUUUGCAUCCUGCCCCUACCCCACUCCUCGCCUGCUCUAGGCUGGUGAAGUUUGUUCUACCUUCUUAAAGCCACUACUUGCUGGUUAGAGGGACUCCGUUCUCGUUUAUUCCUUUCGUAGUGACAACACUAACACAACAGGAGAAAUCCAGCAAUUGCUACCUCAACUGAGUGGUCACGGAAUAGAACCAGCAGUGGACAAACAGCUUUCAAACCUCCUUGGUGAAAUGUAGCAAGGACACACACAGCAAGCACACUCCUCAGUGUGCUCCUCUAAGCAGCAUGGAGUCAUCAUCUCACUGAGCUCAAGUCUCUACUGAGCGCCUUCUGGAAGAGCAAUGUGCUCUUAACUGCUGAGCCAUCUCUCCAGCCCCUACUGAAGGUAUUAUGAAGCCUUAUGACGGGUGCAUGCGUACACCACGAGAGCAGGAAAAGUACAUACUUCCAUUACAAGCUGGUGAGCACGAGACACCAGUGUGAGACCGUUGGCAUGGUUAAAUGUUUCAGAAAUGUCUUGUCCAAAUGUGUAGCCAGCACCACGUGGAGAAAUGCCCCAGCCGCCACGGUCAUCCGGAUCUGACCAUAAGAGAUCACACAUUGGGCCCUGGAUAAGGAGAAAGAAUAUGUGUGCACUGUGAGUUAGGAUACUUAAUUGAGUUACCCUUCCCAUAUGUGAUUACACUUUUUUCUCCCUUAAAAUCAAAAUAAAUGAAGUAACUUCGAAAAUC